AGUUUGAUCCUGGCUCAGAUAACGCUGGCGGCGUGCCUUAGGCAUGCAAGUCGAGCGGUGCUGAGACCGCAAGGUCGAAGUACAGCGGCAGACGGGUGAGUAAUGGUAAGGAAUCUAUCUCGAAGUGAAGGACAUCUCGCCGAAAGGCGGGGUAAUCCUGCAUGUAAUCGUAAGAUAAAAGGGCGUAACUGCCCGCUUUGAGAGGAGCCUUACUCCUAUCAGCUAGUUGGUGGGGUAAUGGCCCACCAAGGCUAUGACGGGUAACUGGUGUGAGAGCACGACCAGUCACAAUGGCACUGAGAUACGGGCCAUACACCUACGGGUGGCAGCAACCGGGAAUUGUCGACAAUGGACGAAAGUCUGAUCGCGCGACGCCGCGUGAGGGAUGAAGCCUUUCGGGGUGUAAACCUCUUUUGUUCCGACAUCGCGUCGGGAAGAAUAAGCAUCUACUAACUACGUGCCAGCAGUCGCGGUAAUACGUAGGAUGCAAGCGUUAUCCGAAUUUAUUGGGCGUAAAGGGUCGCGUAGGCGGUCCAUCGCAUCUUGCCUUAAAUCGUUCCGCUCAACGGAAUCACGGGUGAGAGAUGGAUGGACUAGAGGGAUGGUGGGGUUUCUGGAACUUUCGGUGUAGCAGUGAAAUGCGUUGAUAUCGAAAGGAACACCAAGAGCGAAGGCAGGAAACCAAUCAUUUUCUGACGCUGAGGCACGACAGCUAGGGGAGCGAAGCAGAUUAGAGACCUGCGUAGUCCUAGCCGUAAACGCAUGGGUGCUAGUUACCCUGGAAAUUUUGCAGUUUCAUUGAGGCUGCAGAAUUUUCAGGGUGACGUAAGUUAACACGUUAAGCACCCCGCCUGGGGAGUACGACCGCAAGGUUAAAACUCAAAGGAAUUGGCGGGGACCCGCACAACCGGUGGAGCAUGUGGUUUAAUUCGAGACGAAGCGAAAGACCUCACCACGGUUUGACAUGCUAUCGUUUAUCCCGGCAGAAACGUUGGGAAAUCCGCAAGGAUGAUAGCAAAGCUGCUGCAUGGCUGUCGUCAGCUCGUACCGUGAGGUGUUCUCUUAAGUGAGAUAACGAGCGCAACCCUCAUCCCGAGUUAUAUUUGUCUCGGGGGACGGUCCCGAUGUAUAUCGGGAAGGAAGGUGGGGACGACGUCAAGUCAGCACGGCGCUUAUGCCGUGGGCCACACACAUCCUACAAUGGCGAAGAACAAUGAGUCGCAAGAGGGUGACCUCAAGCAAAUCUCUGAAAUUUCGCCUCAGUUGGAAUUGGAGUCUGCAACUCGACUCCAUGAACAUGGAAUCGGUAGUAAUCGCGGAUCAGCAGGCCGCGGUGAAUACGUUCUCGGGUCUUGCACACACCGCCCGUCAAGCCAACAAAGUCGAGGGCGGUCGAUGUUCCGGCGUAAGCCGGGAUGAAGCCGAACUCGGCGAUGGGGACUAAGUCGUAACAAGGUAACC
rnacentral:rRNA from 1 species